UCCACGCCGUAAACGAUGUCAACUAGCCGUUGGGAGACUUGAUCUCUUAGUGGCGCAGCUAACGCGAUAAGUUGACCGCCUGGGGAGUACGGACGCAAGUUUAAAACUCAAAUGAAUUGACGGGGGCCCGCACAAGCGGUGGAGCAUGUGGUUUAAUUCGAUGCAACGCGAAGAACCUUACCAAUCCUUGACAUCCUCGGAAUUUACCAGAAAUGGUUUAGUGCCUUCGGGGA
rnacentral:rRNA from 1 species